AGCUCCGGUGGCCUGGUGGUUAGAGCGUAAGCCUCGGAUACGAGAGGUCGUGGGUUCGAUCCCCGGUCGAGUCA